UACGGGGGGGGCAAGCGUUGUUCGGAAUUACUGGGCGUAAAGGGCGUGUAGGCGGCCAACUAAGUCCGACGUGAAAUCCCCAGGCUUAACCUGGGAACUGCGUCGGAUACUGGAUGGCUUGAAUCCGGGAGAGGGAUGCGGAAUUCCAGGUGUAGCGGUGAAAUGCGUAGAUAUCUGGAGGAACACCGGUGGCGAAGGCGGCAUCCUGGACCGGCAUUGACGCGUAAAGCGCGA
rnacentral:rRNA from 1 species